rnacentral:rRNA from 1 species
UAAGGCCCUUUCGGGGGUACACGAGUGGCGAACGGGUGAGUAACACGUGGGUGACCUGCCCUGUACUUCGGGAUAAGCCUGGGAAACUGGGUCUAAUACCGGAUAUGACCUUCUCCUGCAUGGGGGUUGGUGGAAAGUUUUUGCGGUACAGGAUGGGCCCGCGGCCUAUCAGCUUGUUGGUGGGGUAAUGGCCUACCAAGGCGACGACGGGUAGCCGGCCUGAGAGGGCGACCGGCCACACUGGGACUGAGACACGGCCCAGACUCCUACGGGAGGCAGCAGUGGGGAAUAUUGCACAAUGGGCGAAAGCCUGAUGCAGCGACGCCGCGUGAGGGAUGACGGCCUUCGGGUUGUAAACCUCUUUCAGUAGGGACGAAGCGCAAGUGACGGUACCUACAGAAGAAGCACCGGCCAACUACGUGCCAGCAGCCGCGGUAAUACGUAGGGUGCGAGCGUUGUCCGGAUUUACUGGGCGUAAAGAGCUCGUAGGCGGUUUGUCACGUCGUCUGUGAAAACCCGAGGCUUAACCUCGGGCCUGCAGGCGAUACGGGCAGACUUGAGUACUGUAGGGGAGACUGGAAUUCCUGGUGUAGCGGUGG